rnacentral:tRNA from 1 species
GGGGAAGCACCAUGGCUCAGUGGUAGAGCACCAGGUUCUCAGGUUCAAAUCAUGGCAUCUCCA